AUUCAUUUUUUGGUGAAAUCAAAAAAAGUUUAAUUUUAGACCCUUUGGGCCCCUAAUUCCUAAACUGUUGGGACCAAAACUCCCAAAAUCAAUCCCAACCUUCCUUUUGUGUUCAUAAACCUUGUGUUAAAAUUUCAUAGAUUUCUAUUUACUUAUACUAAAGUUAUUGUGCGAAAACCAAGAAAAAUGCUUAUUUGGGCCCUUUUUUGCCCCUAAUUCCUAAACUGUUGGGACCAAAACUCCCAAAAUCAAUCCCAACCUUCCUUUUGUGUUCAUAAACCUUGUGUUAAAAUUUCAUAGAUUUCUAUUUACU
rnacentral:lncRNA from 1 species